rnacentral:miRNA from 1 species
GAGGUGGGAGGAUUGCUUGAGCCCAGAAGGUAGAGGCUGCUGUGAGUUGUGAUUGCGCCACUGCACUCCAGCCUGAGUGACAGAGCGAGACCUUAUCUCA